rnacentral:rRNA from 1 species
GUCAACAGCCAACCAGCCUGAAUGUGCCUGAUUUUAUUUGCUCUCAGAAGCCACGCAGGGUUGGGCCUGGCUAGCUAGCAUCUGGAUGAGAGACUGCCUGGAAAUAUUAGGUGCUGUAGGCU